rnacentral:rRNA from 1 species
UACGGAGGGUGCAAGCGUUGUUCGGAAUUAUUGGGCGUAAAGCGCGCGCAGGCGGUCGGGAAAGUCUAUGGGUGAAAUGCCGGGGCUCAACCCCGUGCAUGCCCAGGAUACUGUCCGACUGGAGACACGUAGAGGCAAGCGGAAUUUCGGGUGUAGCGGUGAAAUGCGCAGAUAUCAGGAGGAACACCAAUGGCGAAGGCAGCUCGCUGGGACGGUACUGACGCUGGAGGCGCGAAAGCGUGGGGAGCAAACAGG